UACGAAGGGGGCUAGCGUUGCUCGGAAUUACUGGGCGUAAAGCGCACGUAGGCGGUCUUUUAAGUCGGGGGUGAAAUCCUGGAGCUCAACUCCAGAACUGCCUUCGAUACUGGAAGACUUGAGUCCGGGAGAGGUGAGUGGAACUGCGAGUGUAGAGGUGAAAUUCGUAGAUAUUGGGAGGAACACCAGAUGCGAAGGCGGGUCACUGGGCUGAUACUGACGCUGAUGCGCGAAAGCCAGGGGAGCGAACGGG
rnacentral:rRNA from 1 species